rnacentral:rRNA from 1 species
GAUGAACGCUAGGCGGGAGGCUUAACACAUGCAAGUCGAGGGGCAGCAUAGGGUAGCAAUACUCUGAUGGCGACCGGCAAACGGGUGAGUAACGCGUAUGCAACCUACCCUGUACAGGGGGAUAACCCGGAGAAAUUCGGACUAAUAUCCCGUAAUAAUAUCCGGAGGCAUCUUUGGAUAUUAAAGUUCCGACGGUACGGGAUGGGCAUGCGUAACAUUAGCUGGUUGGUAAGGUAACGGCUUACCAAGGCUAUGAUGUUUAGGGGUCCUGAGAGGGUGGUCCCCCACACUGGUACUGAGACACGGCCCAGACUCCUACGGGAGGCAGCAGUGAGGAAUAUUGGUCAAUGGGCGCAAGCCUGAACCAGCCAUCCCGCGUGCAGGAAGACGGCCCUAUGGGUUGUAAACUGCUUUUCCAGGGAGAGAAACUUACGCACGUGUUGCGUGACUGACGGUACCCUGGGAAUAAGCAUCGGCUAACUCCGUG